GAUUAUAGAAUUUUCUCAUAUCAUUUAUAUAUUUUAAUUUAAAAUAUGGCAUUUAUGUACUUUCUUCAUAUUUUGUGGUAUAAAUUUGAUUAACUCUUUACCUAAGCUGUUUGUUCUGUUUGAGACUUUAGCUGUGGGUCUUCACAAAGUAGAAAACCUCCUGCUGUUCUCUCCUCUAGGUUUCAGGCUUUUAGUGAGCAUAUGAAGGUUUGGCUUUGGUCACCUCUUGUGCCUGUAUUUGCAACAGCAGCAGCUUGUGCCUGUACUACCGAUCUGUUUUUAGAGCAUAGUUCCUUCCUGUGUGUUUUCCAUCUGCAAGUUCAGUGAUAUUAUAUGCCUCUGUUUUGUAGGUACUUUGUGAUAGGCUUGGAAUAGAAACAACUGCAGAAAUCACUGUAAUUGAAGUCUUACAACCAAACGUGUAUACGCAACCAAGUGAACAGCUUGACUGGUGCCGCCAUCCUUGAAAAAUCUGCUACUGCUGCAUCGAAGGGUAGUGACCAUCCUUCACCUUCAGAUGUUUUCUGGCUGAUCCAUUUAAAAGCGACCCUCCAAUACCGAUAACAGGUGUGUUUCAAGUUGCUUAUGACAUGUUAGAUCAAUUGGCGGGCUACAUUUAUGAAGCCUAAAUCUGUUGCCUGGGUGCAUGGUGCCUUCCGGACAGGUACCUGAACUGAUCCCUAAAUUCGAAUGGCCUCCAUGUUAGCCAUAACUAAGAAGCGCAUUAUUAUGUCAUAAUCAUUAUCAUUAAGGAAAGCAUCUGCUUUGAAUUCUAGAACUCCGCAGGGUGAUACAAAGGAACAAGCAUUACUCCCUGUAUGAUUGUUUGAAGCAUUGAGUUUUGUAUUUGCAUUAUUCAAUUCAGAGCCCAUGCGCGAGGGUAGGGGCGCGGGAUAGACGCCGGGCGAAGGCAUGGGGCGGAACGACCUGAGGAAUACGAAGCGCGCGGGGAAGACGAAGAGACAAGGUGCAGGCACUGGGUAGAACGAUACCAUCGGCGGCGGCUCAUGUUAAUUUGUGUGGACCCAGGCUCUCCGCAUAGUCUAACGCGAGAGUGCUCAGUGCUUAGUGGCAUUCCAAUUAUGAGCAUACCAACUUAUAGCACGCGCGUGCCGCGAGGGCAUUGUUACUAGUAAUAUAUAAAAUGCGUAC